rnacentral:rRNA from 1 species
ACUGAAUAGAUACCCCGGUAGUCCCAGCUGUAAACGAUGCAGGCUAGGUGUUUGGACGGCCACGUGCCGUUCUAGUGCCGCAGGGAAGCUGUUAAGCCUGCCGCCUGGGGAGUACGAUCGCAAGAUUGAAACUUAAAGGAAUUGGCGGGGGAGCACCACAAGGGGUGAAGCUUGCGGUUUAAUUGGAGUCAACGCCGGAAAUCUCACCGGGAGCGACAGCAGUGUGAAAGCCAGAUUAAAGGUCUUGCUAGACGAGCUGAGAGGAGGUGCAUGGCCGUCGCCAGUUCGUGCCGUGAGGUGUCCUGUUAAGUCAGGCAACGAUCGAGACCCGCAUCCUCUGUUGCAACCAGCUUUGUGCUGGGCACACUGAGGAGACCGCCACUGAUAAAGUGGAGGAAGGAGCGGGCCACGGCAGGUCAGUAUGCCCCGAAUCUCCCGGGCCACACGCGAGCUGCAAUGGCAGGUACAAUGGGUUCCGACCUCGAAAGGGGGAGGCAAUCUCGAAAGCCUGCCGUAGUUGGGAUC